rnacentral:rRNA from 1 species
CCUACGGGCGGCAGCAGUGGGGAAUAUUGCUCAAUGGAGGCAACCCUGAUGCAGCGACGCCGCGUGAGGGAUGACGUCUUUCGGUGUGUAAAGCUCUAUUAGCACGGAGGUAAAUGCCGAUACGUGACUCAGGAGCACCGGCUAAAUCCGUGCCAGCAGGCGCGGUAAUACGUAGGGAGCCAGCGUUAUCCGGAUGUGUUGGGUGUAAAGGGGGCGUAGACGGCAGGGCAAGUCUGAAGUGAAAGGGCGGGGCUCAACCCCGGGACUGCUUCUGAAACUGCUCGGCUAGAGUGCAGGAGAGGUAAGCGGAAUUCAUAGUGUAGCGGUGAAAUGCGUAGAUAUGAGGAGGAACACCAGUGGCGAAGGCGGCUUACUGGACUGUAACUGACGUUGAGGCUCGAAAGCGUGGGGAGCAAACAGGAUUAGAUACCCGGGUAGUC